rnacentral:lncRNA from 1 species
CUCUGAUCUCAGCUAAUGAAAUGUGUUCUUGUUUGUUCAACCCUGCUGCCUUGGGGCUCUGGCAAAUUCCUGUCUUAAUCUUCAGCCUCACCUGGAGACACACCCCAGUAUGUGGAGAUUUGCAGGCAAGGAGUGGAAUUUACUCAUAAGGAAACAACUUGAAAUAUCCUGUUUUAAAGUAAAUGAAAAAGAGGCCAAGGAGAAUGGAAUCUACCUUACUAUCAGCUAAGAAUCAGAUGAUUGAAAAUAUGCUGCAAAGAUAAUCUUACUGGUUUAGUAAGAGUGGGAGUAUAGUUAUGAAUGAGCACUGAGUUACUCCUGCUUUUGCUGAAUAUUAUCUUGAGAGGCUUGACAAGUGUAUAAUAUUGUAUAUAAAAUUGCCUUAAUUCAGCCAUCUGCAAUGGAAAUCAUGAAUGCAAUGGAGAGAACCGUGUGGUCCAGCUAGAAGAAAUGCACUGGUUUAAAGAAGUUAUGUUGUCUCAUCUCCAGGAAUCUGAGCCUUCUGGUGUAAGAGUUUACACACUGAGGUGCCACUUGGGAAUGAAUAGGACUACUCCCAUUCUGAAAAAAAACAAGCAGAUCAAAAUGUGUGGGUGAAAGAGUUCACAUGAGCAGAGGAUGGGAGCUCAGAGCAUGGAUGGAUA